UUUGUAGGCAGAGAAUAACUGUUCAUGCUUCUGAGGGCACUAGGUCUUAUGAUUUCCAUAUGCUUCUGAGCAGCCUCUGAGCAUCCACUGAAACACCAGAGAAUUGGCUUUUGCUUCUACGUGUUGAAUCCUGGCAUACAGUCCCCAACAAACGGAUGCUUUGAUGCUGAUAGUUCAGCUCUGGAUUCCUCUUUUCCUCCAGACCAGAUGUUUGAC
rnacentral:lncRNA from 1 species